AUUGAACGCUGGCGGCAGGCCUAACACAUGCAAGUCGAACGGUAGCACAGAAGAGCUUGCUCUUUGGGUGACGAGCGGCGGACGGGUGAGUAAUGUCUGGGAAACUGCCUGAUGGAGGGGGAUAACUACUGGAAACGGUAGCUAAUACCGCAUAACCUCGCAAGAGCAAAGAGGGGGACCUUCGGGCCUCUCGCCAUCAGAUGUGCCCAGAUGGGAUUAGCUAGUAGGUGAGGUAAUGGCUCACCUAGGCGACGAUCCCUAGCUGGUCUGAGAGGAUGACCAGCCACACUGGAACUGAGACACGGUCCAGACUCCUACGGGAGGCAGCAGUGGGGAAUAUUGCACAAUGGGCGCAAGCCUGAUGCAGCCAUGCCGCGUGUGUGAAGAAGGCCUUCGGGUUGUAAAGCACUUUCAGCGGGGAGGAAGGCGGUAAGGUUAAUAACCUUAUCGAUUGACGUUACCCGCAGAAGAAGCACCGGCUAACUCCGUGCCAGCCGCCGCCGUAA
rnacentral:rRNA from 1 species